rnacentral:rRNA from 1 species
UACGUAGGGUGCAAGCGUUGUCCGGAAUUAUUGGGCGUAAAGAGCUCGUAGGCGGUUUGUCGCGUCUGCUGUGAAAACCCGAGGCUCAACCUCGGGCCUGCAGUGGGUACGGGCAGACUAGAGUGCGGUAGGGGAGAAUGGAAUUCCUGGUGUAGCGGUGGAAUGCGCAGAUAUCAGGAGGAACACCGAUGGCGAAGGCAGUUCUCUGGGCCGUAACUGACGCUGGAGGAGCGAAAGCGUGGGAGCGAACAGG